ensembl:lncRNA
AUGAGCCUUCCACUGGCUUCAGUUCACCUUCAGUCUUACGAUAAACCGUUCGUAUCAGUGGAUCGUCCGCCAGCGUUUGCUGAGGCUGAACGUAAAAUAUUCCUACCGGUAAUCAGGCCAUGGCUCGUUAACAAUAAAUCAUGGAGCUAUUAAUAAUCAGAGUGCUGGAAACUGUGACUGGAUUUACCCUGGUCAAGUGGCACAUGUUCCUUAAUGACAUCAUCUAUCAUCCUGCAGGAAGUGACAUUAUUUUGGAGGGAAAUCCACAUCAACCCAGUAGCAGUAAAUGAACCUGGAUCGGACGUCUCACUGCUUCCUUCGGCA